CAACAACAUCCCUUUUUUUUAUGUAGAAGGAGUAUCCACGAAUCACAAGCUAACUUAGCGCGUGCACCUCUUUUCUCCCACUUUCGAUUUGGCUUCCUGCGGCUCGCCCUCACUUCGUGCCCCCCUCCUCCCACACGGACACACACCGCGUCGAUACCGCCACCGCCUUGCAACGACGGCGAAGCACCACAACUCUGAUAGGUUUUCUCCGCUCACAGCCAGCGAGGGAGCACGUGCAGCGUCGUACAGCUCAUCUUCGGGGCUUCCUCUCGUUCUCUCACGUCCCACACUGCUCAGCUCGCUCACGCAGAUAUAGCACUCCACGCAGGUGACUUAGGACGAGAAUGUCGGCCGCUAUAGUGAACCGCGCUGCUAGUGGCGCCGCGGCGCCGCGCCGUAAGGGCAACGAGAGCAAGAAAGAUAACAACACGCAGACAGAUGUGCGCCUCAGCAACAUCACGGCGGCCAAGGCCGUGGCGGACUGCAUCCGCACCUCGCUCGGGCCUCGCGGCAUGGACAAGAUGAUUAUUGACCCGAAGGGGGAGACGAUCAUCAGCAACGACGGUGCUACGAUCCUGUCGCGGCUGCAAGUGACGCACCCGUGUGCCAAGAUGCUCGUGGAUCUGUCCAAGGCCCAGGACAUCGAAGCUGGCGACGGCACGACGUCAGUCGCGGUGCUAUGCGGCGCCCUUCUGCGCGCCGUCGAGGAGCUGCUGAACAAGGGCAUUCACCCGACGCAGAUCUCCGAGAGCUUCAACGAGUGUGCCAAGCUGGCCGAGAAGGUGCUGGAGGACAUGAGCAUCAAGAUUGACAUCGACGACCGCGACACGCUCAUCAAGGCAGCCAUCACGUCGCUCAACUCGAAGGUCAUCUCACAGAACAGCGACCUGCUGGCCCCGAUGGCGGUGGACGCCGUGCGCAAGAUUAUCCGCAGCAACGGCGACGUCGACCUGCGCGACAUCCGCGUCACUUCCGCACUGGGCGGCACGAUCGACGACACGGAGCUGAUUCAGAAUGGUAUGGUGUUCAAGCAGAAGGCGUCGCGCGUUGCUGGCGGGCCGGCGCGCAUCCAGGACGCCACGAUCGCGCUCAUCCAGUUCCAGCUCUCGCCACCCAAGACGGACAUGGAGAGCACCGUCACGAUCACCGACUACACGCAGAUGGACCGUGCCCUCAAGGAGGAGCGCAAGUAUCUGCUGGGCCUGUGCAAAGCAAUCAAGGAUGCGGGCGUGAAUGUGCUGCUGGUGCAGAAGUCGGUGCUGCGCGAUGCCGUCACGGCGCAGUCGCUUGACUUUCUCGCCAAGAUGAAGAUCAUGGUGGUGACAGACAUUGAGCGCAACGACAUCGACUUCAUUACGAAGACGCUUGGCUGUAUGCCGGUCGCGAACCUGGAGAACCUCACCAAGGACAAGUUCGGCCACGCCAAGACGGUCAUUGAGGAGGGCACGCCGAGCGGCAAGGUGAUCAAGAUCAUGGGCGUGCAGCCGCCGCCGCCGUCGUCGCUCAACCACGAGCUGUUUGGCAAGACCGUGUGCUUCUUCCUGCGCGGUAGCAACAGCCUCAUGCUCGAGGAGGCCGAGCGCGCCCUGCACGACUCCCUCUGCGUUAUUCGAUCCAUUGUGAAGAAGCGCGCCAUCAUGCCGGGCGGCGCGGCUGGCGAGAUUGAGGUGUGCAUGCAGCUCGGCAAGUACGCGCGCGAGCGGGCGGAGGGGAUGCAGACGUUCUGCAUGCGGGCGUACGCGGACGCCUUCGAGAUUAUCCCGUACACGCUGGCGGAGAAUGCUGGGAUGCAGCCCAUCUCGAUCGUCACGGAGCUGCGUAACGCCCACGCGUCUGGGCACGUGAACAGCGGCGUGAAUGUGCGCAAGGGUUGUGUGACGGACAUGGUCGAGGAGAACGUGGUGCAGCCGCUGCUCGUGUCGACGUCCGCCGUGCGCCUUGCCUCGGAGGCGGUGAUGAUGAUCUUGAAGAUCGACGACAUCAUCAUGACGCGCAUCUGAGCCACGUUCACCGAAAACGAGAGAGUGCGGAUGGGCCACAGAGGCACGCGCGUUCUCUUUCACUCUUUCGUUGGUCUACAUAGAUGAUGCCGAGGAGUGGGUGGGGGGGAGGGGGAGGAGGACGCGAGGGCCGCGCGCGUGUGGCUGCCAAGGAUAACGCUGUCGAAGAUGCUAAACACGAAAAAAAAGGAAGAAAAACCAAAGAAAGGAAAAGGAAUGCCGGAACCCUCCCCCCCUCCCCCCCCCCAAAAAAAAAACAACGCACGCACACACGCAAGCAUAGCAGGGACGACAUAGUGGGUGCGGGUGCGCAGCCGCCGACCCCCCCCCCCCCUCUGCCCCUCCCAUGCUGUUUUUAUCUCUUUUUUUUUGUGUCUUGUUGGAGUCUUCGUCUUGAGAUUUUCCCACUUACCACCAUUAGUAAGCAGCAACGUGCCGUUGUGUUCGUUGAUGAUGAGCAUAUAACAAAGGUGCC
rnacentral:misc_RNA from 1 species